UACGUAGGGCGCAAGCGUUAUCCGGAAUUAUUGGGCGUAAAGAGCUCGUAGGCGGUUUGUCGCGUCUGCCGUGAAAGUCCGGGGGCUCAACUCCGGAUCUGCGGUGGGUACGGGCAGACUAGAGUGAUGUAGGGGAGACUGGAAUUCCUGGUGUAGCGGUGAAAUGCGCAGAUAUCAGGAGGAAUACCGAUGGCGAAGGCAGGUCUCUGGGCUAU
rnacentral:rRNA from 1 species